CCCUUGUACAGCAUAAAAAGAAAUAAAUUAUUAGUACAACAAAUUGAGGGUAAAUGUACGAAGAUCCUAGGGAGGUUUUGUUUGAGGUGUUUGCAAGCAGCGGGUAAUAUGAGUACAAUGACAGUGACUCCUAACCUAAUUAAGAACAUUGUAUUCUUGUAGGGAACUUCGUUUCGCUUCUAAUUUCCGCCCUGAUUUGAACAAUAUAUUUUUCCCUGACUCCCAAGAAUCAGGGUUCAACACGACACAAGCUGGAAUGGCUAUCAAAAACCCCAACAGUAAAAGUGAAUCAUGUGUCAACCUUCAGACUUAGUAAUCUGACCUGUGACCUUAUAGCAGACGAAUGAGUUAUACAAGCAAGCCAGGAUUCAUAUAACCUUUAGCGACUAUACAAGCAGGUCAGGAUUCCUGUAUAACCUUUAACAAUCACUCUUCUACGCCUUAUGAAGGUGCUCUGUGCACAGGUUAUCCAAGACCGUACUGAGGGUUGAGUCCAUUGUCAUUCAAAAGGAUUGCUGGUACAUAGAAUCGCCCAACGAGAAGCAGUUAAAACCGAUGCGCAGCUGUGUAAUGUCUACCAAGUCCUUGCCUGUAAGAAGAAGGUCCAGGUCGCUAGUAACGUGGUACCUCCCAGUAUAUAAGUCGUGCCGAAUAAGUAAAACUCGUGAUUUUGGUUAAAUAGCAACGCUCUUCUUGCCGAAUAAGGCAAGCUAAAAUUUGUGUAUACAAUAAUUUCGCAAAAAAUUAUUCUGAACUUAAUGAAAAAAUUAAAUUGCGCUUGUUAUAAUAAGGUUAGGUAAGUUUUCUAAGGUUCUUUUGGUACAAAAUUAUUAAUUUUUACAUAAAGAUAGAUGAAAAAAUAUAUCUUUAAACGUAUAAGAAAUUUUUUUACCUAUUCGGCACGAUAUAUAUUACCUGGAGUUUACCUGGAGAGGGUUUCGGGGGUCAGCGCCCCCGUGGCUCGGUCUGAGACCAGACCUCGUGGUGGAUCAUGGCCUGAUCAACCAGGCUGUUACUGCUGGCCGCACGCAAACUGACGUACGAACCAUAGUUUAUGUAUUUAAUAAAUUUAUUUAUUGGUUUAUAAGGCACCAGUCGUUUUGUCAUAAAAGCUGAAUGCAAAUCUCUUGUUUCAGUAACUCCUAGAAAAUCGGCAAACGGAAAAAUAUCCAGCGAGUAAUCAAUCGAAAAACAAUUCACAGAAAAAUCCGACUAUAAGCCAUUUGGCUUCUUCAGUCGCAGUGCAAAGGAAACGGCAGAAGUGAUGACGUUAGUAUAUAAGCGCCAGGCUCCUUGCCUCUGCUCCAGAACAUCCACG